GAAGGAUGAAGCAUUGUCAGAAGCCCACAGCCUAGAGUGGAAGACACAGGGGGACAGAUACACAAAGAGGUGAUUUAAAUAUGGACGAUGAGUGCCGGGAGACACAGAAGCACAGAGAAAUGGGACCAGAGAGGAAGGACUCCUCACACAGCACAGAGGCUCAGGGAAGACUCCCUGGAGUGGUUUUGAAGGGAGAAGCUCAAGAAUGCCAGAGAUGCUGUUGUCUUUACUGAUGUAUCCCCAGCACAUGGAACAGUCCAGGCUCAGAUUUGGCACCCUGGGACUUGAAAGGCUGAGAGAGCAACUGACGGUACAUGCAGAUGUCCUUAAAGACCUCCAGCUGUGGACCAUGGGACACUGUUCCUUCUGAGGUGCCAGCCCCAACUUCCACCUGCAUGGAGGUGUGAGGACCUGCUUCGAUGGGAAUGGAAGAGGCUACACUAGAAAUCAAAGUUGGGAAGGCAGAGGAUCCCACUGAGAGUGGCGGACCUGGCUGGAAGCAUCCCAGAAGAGGAAAAGAAUGUGAGAAGACAAAGAAACUGGAGGGUUUCAUCUUUGAAGGGGGAAUUCCCUGAAUUAUGUGAGUCCUUAACUCACAUUUGAUGAGUGGAGGAUUGGACAGUGGAAGGAUGGCUGGCUGAAAUGGAUGGUGGUCUAUUGAAAGAUUUAUUGGAUGCUUCCUGAGACUCUGUGCAAUGAAUCAGACCCAACCUCUGUCCCCAAGGAGCUCACGGUACACACACGAUGACACCAGAGUUGUAAUUCAACUUGGAGAUGGGCCUUGAAAGAUAGAGGGAGUGGGGCUACAUGCUGAGGACAAGAUCGAGCAGAAUUCUCAAUAAGGUUCAGAGGGUCACUCCCUUGGGAUCUGAGAUGCUCAGAACAAGUCAUGAACCCCUUUGAGAUGAAAAUCAAAAUGGGAAAAUACCUUGGUUGAAAUUUAUGCCUUCUUAAAUUGAAUUUCAGUAUGGUUAAGAUAUAGUGGGCAUAAAAGUUCAUGAAAAAAAUUAAAACUUGAGAAACUUGUGUCUCUUAAUGUUUGUGGUUUGUGUGUGAAUUAAAGUCUAAGGGAACACUA